CAAAACGACUCUCGGCAAUGGAUAUCUCGGCUCUUGCAUCGAUGAAGAACGUAGUGAAAUGCGAUACUUGGUGUGAAUUGCAGAAUCUCGUGAACCAUUGAGUCUUUGAACGCAAGUUGUGCCCGAGGCCUUGUGGCCGAGGGCACGCCUGCUUGGGGGUCAUGG
rnacentral:rRNA from 1 species